ensembl:lncRNA
UUCUCCAGACCUUUGCUAGGGCAGCAGUGCUGCUAUGUACCCCCAUGGGACCACCUAGAUGUGUGGCAUUGUGCCCACCACAUCCCAGCACUGGGAUGUAAAUGCUCUGCCUGCUGCAGGCGCAGCACGUGCAAUGGGGAUAGAAUGCACUGCCAGGUCCUGCCCUGCUGCCAGGGACACACAGCCCUGCGCUGUACUAAGCUGCAAGGACCCACUUCCACCGAUACUGCUCGGUCUCUAUUGAAUGCACACUAUGGAAUUUAAUCAGUGAAAUGAAUUUGCUAAUGAACUUGUUAAUGAGCUUGCCAUAUCUCAUAUUGUUCAUUUCUUCUGUUCUUUUUCUUUUUUAGUGGGAAGAAAGAAAGCUGCUGCUGUUUGGCGGCUUGUUGUUUGGGGUUUUUUUCUUCUUCGCUUUAGGCAAAUGAAAGGAAUAAGUUCACUUAUAAUUGCUUUCAUGUAAAGAAAAGUUAAUAGAAAUUUUAAUAACAGUAGCAGCUUAGGAGAGUUUGAGGCCAUGACACGUGCAGUGCAAUGGAGGCAGCUCCUGCAGCAGGCUGCAGCUGCCCAUUGCUAUGGCUCUGCUUGGGGCACAGGGGGAGAGCUCCGGGAGAAUUCAGAAGGGUUCAUUCUGCCCUGGUUUUGUGUAGCCCUGCGUGCCCAUUGCAUACACAGAACACCAUGUAGCAGCAGUGUGACCAUUAGUCACUAUGUCAGUGUACAUAAAAAGGAACAGGCUCAGUAAUAUAUAUGAUGAACUUUUACUGAUUGUCGUAUGUGCCCUUCUGAGCUCUUCCCCUCUGGGAUCCACAGCAUCAGUGCUUCCUUCCCUUUCUCUUGGGCAGCAGCAGCAGCAUUUCUGUCCUGCUGGUACUGCAGGCACCAUGGCUGUUUGCUUUUCCUGCCAGGCAGCAAGCCAGCACUGAGGUCAGACUAUUCCCAGGAUGGAUGCAAGGUCCUGGUGUCAGCACUGCUCACAGCAGUGUUGCAUACAUCAGCUCAACUCCUGCAGCCUCCUGUGCCUUCUGAGCCUCCCAUGCAUUGAGGCCACCACCUCCCAUGAGGAUGAAGGGGAGGAAGAGUGGGGUGCAACCAUGCACGCCCCAUUGGCAGAAGCACCUGGGGGUCUUCACUGACCAACACUGUGAAGGGCACUGUUAUUGUGUGUGCACUGUCCUUGUAGACUCACCUCAGCAGUGAUCUCACACCACUGUGCACUUUCCUGGCACACUGACAAUCCCAGUGAGCAGCUGCAGUUCCAUGGUGGCUACAUUAAGAAUGUGACUUCUACAGCCAUCACUGCGGCCAUCAGCAGUGGAUGUCUGCCGUGCAAAGGGACGUGCGUGCCAACAGCAAGCACCUGGGCAUGGAAAGCUGGUUGCUGUUACUGUAAGUGAACCCUUCAGUUUGUAAGUGUGAGGAAACUGGAGAAGUUUAUGAAAGAAGAAAAAGGAUGGGGUACCGGGAGACAAAAGACUCAUCGCCUUGCAGGAAAGGGAUGAAUACAGGAGAAGAGGAGAUGGAUUGGAGCUCGUUUUGAAGGCAGAAGGAGCCAUCCCCAAGUCAGCUUCCUGCACUUCCAGUGACAUUUAUAGAAGUGAACAGAGAUUCCACUGAUUUCACUUUUGACCAUCAGCCUGAACGCGUCCUCCCAACUGGAAGGGCUUUUUUCACCUUGAUGAUCCUUGAGGUCCCUUCCAACCCAAGCCGUUCCAUGAUUCUGUGAUUCACCGACUGCAUCACAUCCAAUAAGGAAUCCCAGUGCAGCGCUGAAGCAACCCUCCUUCAUCUUCAUAGCACAGCAGAAGAUAAUCAUAAGGAUGCCAGGACGUAUUCUAAGUGGAGAAACAUUGGCAGUGGAUGUCACUGGAGCAAGAUCCUGGAGACUGUGGAGACUUCUGGGAAGGAAGGAGGUUGUGAGCAUCGCUGUCACGGCUGAGCAGCCGGCUGCUCCGAGGGGUUAGUAUAAGUAAAAUAAAAGAGGCGGGGAGAACAAUGGCUGCAUGUGUUCUCCUAUCUAGCAAUGCAUUGUCAGUGCAUCAACGUUAAUUUUUAAAUGGGAUAUUUACAUUGUACAAUGAAGUAAAUGUACCUCAUGUUCUUAUUCUGACUCUUAAUCCCAAGGCCUGUGGCUCCUUAAGUCUCAUUUGUUUAUCACCUCAAAGUUACAGUCUGGAUUUUAGCAGUGAUCAGACUGAAGUUACCCUCAGGGUUUUAUUCCCACAGUCCCAGAAGCUCUCUUCAGACAGGUCUUUAUUUGUUGAAGUGUAUUUAUUAUCCACUUGAACUUCUUUGAGCAGAUCGUAUUGAAAAUGAGAACUGCAUGAGGCUGUUCCUACUGCUUGCAGCUCAACAUGCACUGAAAUGGUUAAAUUCAGCACUUCAUUUUUGCAAAUGCUCUCUCAAAUUAUUUUGGCUUUUGUGAAAUUUUCUUCCCUCCGGCUUCAUUUGCUGGCAUAUCUAAAAACACUUACACACGCAUAACUGAAAUCCAACACAUCGAUGGCUAUUAACCUGUUGGAUGUUACCUAAUGAGCCCAUAUGUUGUACUGUCAUUCAGUUACUGUGACAGAAGGAUGACAUGGAAAUGCUGACAUGUAUCUCUGUUGUUUAAUGCAGACACAGCGUAACUCAUUAUUUUGUGCAGCAAACUGAAGUCUCUAAUGCCUGCAAAACUGAAAGGGUGCUACAGUAACUGCUUGUCAGAAACAGAACAAAAUCUGCCUUUCCUGUGCGCAUAUAAAAAUACAGGUGACUCUACAAGCAGCUCAAUUUGUCACUCAGCCCCAUCCAGGGCUUUUCAAAGUGAGCUUUUAAUUCUCUGUGGCUGCCUAACAGAAAUCCCACCACGUCUGUGUGAACUGAAAGAACCGCACGUUUCUCCAACUGUGACCCCAAAUAGGUAUUAAUGCAGCUGUUACAUCCCAAAUACUUCUCUAACAGUUCUCAGAUUGUUCUCCCCAUUCAGUUACAGCAGUCUGGAUGGAAAUAGAGAAGAAAACAAGUGCUAACCUCGUAGAGCAGUUGUGGAUGGGUGAGUAGCAGCCCAGGGGCAGCAUUUGCUUUAGGUCCUCCUCAUGGAAUUAGGGUCAUUACUGUGAUUUACUAAGAAACAUAUGUGCAAGUAUGCACUGAAACUGCAGAAAAUAGAAUUUUAGAAGCUUAUUCAGCAGUGGAUUUCAGCAUACAGAUGCUGGAUAUAAUAUACUCGCACUAAAUUGGAUUCUGGGUGAAUAAAGGAGCUGCUCUUAAAUUCAGCUUAGAGCCCUGCUCAGCACUCAGUUUGAAAUACACAGCCUUUUUGUUUCGCUUUUGCAACUUAUUCAAUAAAUAUUUUGGCAUGCCUGUCUGUUACACUGCCUUAAUCUUCUCUUCAACUGAGCAGAAAUUAGCAUUUGUAAUUUAUUCGCCAAGGGAAACUAAAAAGGCUUUGCACCAGAGUGAAAUUGAAUGCCCAACAGAUAACCAGAAUGCUGAGUCAGCACAAUGUGCAUUUGACAAAUAUGCCCUUUGCCUGCACCUAACUUAAUGGACCACAUGGCAAAGAGUGGGGGGCAAGCGUUUAAGCUUUUAUAUGUGACUUGCUGGAAUGGUGCAGGGCUGUGGUGGCUCACCGCGCAGUGCCAUCAUCCCCUCUUCAUGGCCCAUGACCAAUGGCCAUGCCAUUCAAGUCCAUUUUUCAUUUCAAGCAAAUCACAAGAUGCCCGUUUUGUAUAAUAAAUAACAGUUAGACCAGUGUUUCAGUUAUCCUACUAAGAAACAAAGUCUGUAAUCAGCUUGAUUUCCUUUUUUUCCCCUCAAUCCAACCCCAUGCAGGUUUAAUUAACCCUAAAAAAAGCAAGCCAAAUACCCACUCAAUAGAUUUCAGUGACUAGAUAGCAGGUUCACCCUUGGGAUGACUCGUAUAGCUCAUUAUUAGAAUCACAGAACCAUUCUGGCUGGAAAAGCUGUCUGAGACCCCCACCCUACCUGUGCCCACUGGCCCCCCCUCAGUGCCACAUCCCCGCAGCUCUGAACACCUCCAUGGACAGGGACUGCCCACCCCUGGGCAGCUGUGCCAGCGCCUGGCUGCUCUCUGGAGCAGACAUUGCUCUGACAGCCAACCUGACCCUCCCUGUACAGUCUGAGGCCAUUCCCCUCUCAUCUUAUUGCUGGGGCAGAGUCCAACCCCCACUUCACUACAUGCUUCUUUCAGGGAGUUGAAGUCACAUCCUGGAGUCGAUAAGGAGCAGUUUGAGCCAUGCCCUUGGCCCCUCUCCUUACAUAAGAGAUGAAUUUUUGGCACAGAGUGCUGUUUUGGUUGCACCUGUUUCUUAUUUGGUCUCAUGAAUCAUUUGGGGCAUUGUUAUGAGGCAGGCCAAUAAGACAGACAUAUGCCAAUUAGGGCUGUUCUGAGAAGCAGUCACAAUGCAUGUGGUUUAUGAGUGCUAAUGUCAUUGAUUUCUGCCUUUUCAAUGAGCUAGCCAGCACUCUGCAUAGAGAAUUUAUAAUCAGAAACAUCCCUCCCUAUUGGCACAUGGAUAGGGCCUGACUUUUAUUGCAGCAGCGUUUGAUCGAUGCAGCGAUAUGCCGUGUGGGGUGGUGAGCAAUGGGUCUCAUUCUGCCAUACGUGGAGCAGGAGGCACUCCCAGCACAACAGCAGAAUACCGGCGUACUUCAAUGCACAGUUACCUGCUUGCUGGAGAAGGGAGGCAUGAAGCUGUUCCCCCCUCGUGUCCCACUUGCACACACUCACGUUUACAGCACAGUCGCAUAGCAGCCAAUGCUUGCUGAAAAACAAAGUAAGAAAAAGGAGUGCAAAAUGUACAACUAUUACUCUGCAUAAGAAAAUUAUGGAAAGAGAAACCAGCAUAGAUUGACAGUGUGUGGGGGGGCAGAUGAGUACUUACUCUUUCCAGCACGAAUUGCUUUGGUUUUUUCUUCCUUUUUAGUUUGUUAUAACCAUAACUUUAUUUAAAUGUCGCUUUUCUUUCCAGCGUGGCUGUGGUAAUUUCUUAGAGAACAUAUUUUAAUGGCCUGGCUGUACGCACAGGAUUUCUGUUUGUUUCUGUAAUUGCUUCUUAAUUAUUUUCCAAUUGCUGAAACAACAGUUUCCACAGUUUAUUAAAAAGCGUUUUUGAAAGCUUUACCCGAAGGCAUUGUCAACAUUUUAUUACUAUCACUAACAGCCAGCACAAAUGAAUAAUCACCAGCCCUGGUAGCUCGUGUCAAGCAGUAGAGAGCUGUCAGAGCCUUAUGUAGAAAUUAGGGUGAUGUAGGAAUUGGGAUGCAUUCACUGUGCUUCCAGGUUGGAGCAGCCCCAUUCCCACCAUGGGAAUGGAUUAACUUUAACCCCAAUGGCAUCUCUCUUUUAGGUGUGAUGUCACUAACAGAGAUAACAUCACUGUGUUUGGAAGGAGAAAUACUCUCAGAAAUCUUAAAAAUAACAUUACAGCAACUUUCUUUUGUUGUUUAAGCCACUUUUGCCCCCACACAUAUAUUGUAGGGAAAAACUGGCCUGAUCCGUGUGGUUAUAACAACCUAUUGUACGUUGUUAUAUGUAUUGUUAUAUGUACAACCUAUAUGUAUUGUAUAACAGCCUACAAUAGGUUGUUAUAACCAGCACUGGGUAGCCUCUGUAGCAGCAGCCUGCUCCCCUAGCCAUGUGCAGAGGUGCCCUUCCUGCAGAACUUUGCCAAGGAUGGAACCAAGAUUUACUGUCAGAGCAGUGAGCUGCUGCCCAACACAGUACCGCAUCCCCCCCAACCCCAUCACUGCCCCCCAUGCCACCUCUACCUACCAGUAAUUCAUGCCAUCUCCUCGAAGGACAGAAGUCGUCAGUUCCCACGUCUUCUCAAACUUAAGUAUUCAAAAUACCUAGAAAUUAGUCAGAAGUUUUAGGACAAAGGGUUCAGGGUGGGAAUUUGCAGGAUAAAGGACAGGUUUACCAAAUCUCCCACUGCUUAAAACAAAAGAAAAGUGGAAAACUUCAAGAUGUGUCUAUCACAAAAUAUUUCUUUCAAACAAAAAUAAAGAAAAGAGGGAUCAAAGUUGGUAAUUGGCAUUCUUUUCAUUCCAAUUUGCUGCUAUUUUCAAGCUCCUAAUUUCUCCUCUAUUGUUGAAUAGGAUCGUUUUGCUUUCCAAACCACCCUCCCCCCCCAGCAGCCCUGAGCACACACAGCCCUCCUUCUGCCUCCAGGCUGUGGUGCAGCUACAUCUCACUUCAGAGCAUCCUCCCCCUUUCAGCCAGCACCCACAGUUUCUGCCUGCUGAUUCAAGGGCUGGGAAAGAGAAAACCCACUUGAACUCCUUGGGGCUGGAGCAGCACGAAGGUAAAGCCUCAGGUCUCUCUCUCCGUUCUUUCAUAACAGUGCCAUCUUUUCAAGUAGGAUUUAUUAGAAACAGCAGCUUCAUUUCUAUACAGGUGGGAAAUAAAUGCUUUGCUUAUAUUCUCUUCCUAUACUCUUCUCAUAACCUAAAUCAUAUAAAUGAUUCCUCAUUUGCCUUUAUCAGCUAUGAGAAGAGUAUUGGCUGGAUAUAAAACUCUCAUUUUAAUACUUUGAUUGGGAAAUGCUAUGAGAGGAACCGAUGCCUUGAAGGCAUUAUGAGCUUUGGUGAAGCAGAAGUUCUCCAAUUUGUGCAGCAGCAGAGAGGUGCCCUCACCCCUGAGCAGGAUGCAAUAGCUCAAUAUAAACACAAAUGUAUGGAGGUUGAACACAUGGAACACAGCACUGUGAUUGCAGGGUGACGUGAUGAGGUUGGCACAUAAUUUACUAACGAACAUAAACAGCAGCUGACCUGCAGAUACAAGAAGGAUACAUGAGUGGUUCAUCACAGCUGACGCUUUGCUGCCCUCCUGUAUCCCACGUGCUGAGAAAGGAAACGCGCUUGAAUGCUUCCCCAUUCUGCCCAUACAGCACUGAGAGUCUCAUCACAAUACAGAGUUGAGUUGUUGGUUUCUCCUGUACAGCUUGAAUCAGCGUAUCACUAUCCAAAGGGACAAACCAGAAAGCAUGUCAGGCUGCCAAACAGCGAGCAGGUGCUGCAGCCAGGUCCUGAAAGGGAUAUGGGCUCAGCCCUGGGCUGCCAGGAGGGGAUGGAGCCCUCCACCCACCUCAGUAGUCCAGGGACAGUUACUUACAAGAGAGAGUCUUAAACUGUUAAAAAAGUUUCCAAUAAAACUGUUUUCAUAAAAAACCUGCUUGAUUUUAUCGAUUGUUGCAGAUUAUACAGAGGUAUAGGCACACAUUUCUAUCACAGAAUCACUGGAGGUGCAGAAUUUACUGUCUGAAUGCCUGUCACACAUCUGUGUCUUUAAACCUGAACACUGCUUGCUCCACGAAGCACAUAAUUCUCCUAUUUAUGCAAAGCACUCCUAAACCCUCUGCAUUCUUUGUCCAGGUCAUUUUGCAGCACUUGGCACCUGCCUGAUCUUUUCCUUUGAUGAAUUUAUUAGAAUGCAUGCAAGCUCUGUGAUGAUAGUCAAAUGCAGCUGCAGAGUGAUAAUAUUUUAUACACGUGUAUGUAUUAAUGUUUAUACAGAAUCAAAGAAUGAAUUAUAGAAUGGCCUGGGUUGAAAAAGAUCUCAAAGAUCAUCCAGUUCCAACCCCCUGCUACGUGCAGGGUCACCAACCACCAGACCAGGCUGCCCAGAGCCACAUCCUGCCUGGCCAUAUAUACAUACAUGAUGUUGGGCUGCCCAGCCCAUAGCAGCCCCAAGCACCUCCAUCCCAUGUCCAGCAAGGGACAGGCAGACCUUUGACAUUAUACCACACUCCAACAGCCCGGAGGAAAUACUGGGCUGUGAACUGUCAAUGGAGGUGUGCCCACCAUUGUAUUGAUAUUUUCAUGGAAACAUUGUCCUUCAUACACUGAAAGGUUUCCUACUGAGACAACAGGGAGUACCUCUGGCUACCCUGAACACCACUAACAGCAGAGUCCUACAGGCACACCUAUUAGAAGCAGAUGUGUUUUGGCUUCAGCAGAUCACAUAGAAGCUGUUGGAAACAGCUGAGUGAUACCUCCUAGAUAAACCCAAGGUAUUUACUGGAACUAAGCAGAAGCAUUAUUAUUUAGUAUCGAUCCCCCUGUGAUGAACCAUACUUUACAAGGUCACUCUAAAACACGAGCAAUGAUUCCAAUGUUAAGACAUCCUUCUCUUUGUAAUGGGAUAAUCACAGUCAUUCCUCCCACUGCCCUGCAGUGCAGCUUCCUGCAUGGAAGAGAUCUUGGCUUAUUUGUACACCAGCAGACCUGCAAACAGCCAAUAUACCGUAUCAGAACUGAAGGCAUCCUCAGUGCAUCAUGAUCUGCACUGCAGCAACAGAUGCCUUCCUUACCCAGACAGUUCACUGUGGAAGGGCAGGGAGUACUCAUCACAACUCACUUUUGACCCAGCAGCAUGAGUUAAAGGUUAUCUCAUGGAGCAUUGCACUGCCUGCUAAGGCUGUGGGACUGCAACGAGAUAACAGAGAAUUCUGAAUAAUAAUUGAAAACUCCGUGCUGAAAUCAAUGCGAUUAGACUAUAUCGAUGUAGAUAUUUCUUUUAUCUAUAAGGCACAAUUAAAAAAUUGACCUUUACACAGAUCUCAAGUGUCAGUCUCAUUGUGAAGUUCACAGCUGUCAAUGCCUGAACUGAAUAUUGCAAACAUGCAAAAAAAAAAAUACUCCCUGCUAAAGUGCUCAGCAGCUCAUUUGCAAAGCUUGUUUUCUAUUAGACAAAACAACACACAGCCUCUAAAAAGGCUCUCAAUGGAAUGCCAGCUCAGGGUGGGCUCACAGAGCACACUGAUGCCAGCUUCCUACCAGCUGCCCCCAGAACACAUCAGCCCUCACCAUUGACUGCACCACCUUCCCCUCCUCCUCAGUAUCACAAACCUCAGCCACUGCCUCCAUGCUCUGCAGAAGCAGAGCUGAGCAGAUGGGUAUUGGGGGCAGAAAGCAGGAUAGUGAAGCAACAAACUUGUGCUGGUCUCUAUUCUGGCUCCCAGCAUGGAUGCCUCAGCGUGACCUGGUGCCCAGAGUGGCAGAGAAGGGCUCUUUGUUUGACUUAUCCACCCAUUAUAUGCGCAUAAAUGACCCUGAGAGUACUUUGAAAUGAAAUUCCAUAGCACACUUUCAGUACCAAAUAAUACACAGAGCUUACAUUAGUCUCAAAGCAAUAUUCGCCCAUGAAAAUGAAGCUGCAAAUGUGACACUGGCUGCUUUUAAAGAGCUUUCCUAUUCCAUCCCAAAAUGCCGGUGACUCAAAAUGACAGCACACCCCAUCCAUCACUGUGUGGCCCUGUGUGUUCUCCAGCAAAAACGUGCUUGAAGAACACAAAUAGAAAGCACUGCUGUAGAGGUGUGCCAGCCCUCAGACCAUUCCCAAGCUCAGUGCAUCGUUUAAGCCCCAGUACCUCAUUCAGCUGCCAGUUCUGCUUACCCACGACUGAUAACCACAGAACCAUAAGGGUUGAAAGGGACCUCUGGAGAUCACCAAGGCCAAUCUCCAAAUUAUAACUCAUCUUUCAGAUAUGAUAGAAGCUGCUUCACAAGAAGUAGUUGAGAUACUGAAGCAUUACGUGGUUAUUUAAAAUACAGUUAGGUUGUGGCCUUCCUUGUUGCCUCAGCCAGAGUGGUGUGGCAGUCCUGGUGUUAAAACCACCAUGGAGAAGAGGCAGGCACAGAUAUGAGGAGUUCUUCCAACACGAGGCAGGGCAGAAGAGGCAUCUGCAGUUGGAAUGGAGAGAGAGAGGAAAACAGUGAAAAAUAAGGGAGUAAUUCCCCAAAAUGCCAGUGCUGACUAGAGUGUGCCCAUGGGAGCAGUGCAAUGUGUGCCAUUAUGCGGGAGCAAUGCCUCCUCCCAAUUAGGGGAUCCAAAGGCUGAGGACCUCCUCACCCCAUCAAACUGCUGGAAGCAUCGGUGUUACUUAACUAACAAGGAAUAGAGGGAAGCUGCUGCUUGUCAGAAGCUCAGCACCAGGAGGGCAGCCGCAGUGCCCAUGGAUUCAGUUCCUUCACCCAUUGUAGGGCUGCCUCCAAGCUGCGAUUAAUUCUCGUGCUCUGAACUGCAGAUAAUGAAUUGACUUCAUGCCCAGGUGUAAAACAUAGCCCACAGAAACACAAUUUCUGCUCAAAUUCAGACCUAAUGGAGACCAGAAACCAGUUACAUAAAUGAAUACCUGUUUCUUUAAAAGAGUAUCAUUUGAUUUGCCUAAAGGUGACAGAAAAGGAGGGUGAUGGGGUAUGGCAGUGUGCCAUGAGAUGCAUGAUAGAUUAUAGCCCUACACUGUGUUUAUUUGAACAAAUGUUGUGACAACCCCCAGAAAUUUGAUUAGAUCCACAUUUUUUGCUUGUCGUACAACACGGUAUCAUUUCGUGUCAUCUUGGAGGACACAGGCAAUCAUUUAUCAGAAUUAAGUGCACACACUAAUAAAAUCAUUUC